rnacentral:tRNA from 1 species
GGAUAAAAUGACUGAUAAUAGGUAGUAAAUUGUAAAUUUAUUUAUAGAUUUUAUAAUCUUUUUAUCAA